GCCCUCUUAGUAUAAUAAAGUACGGCUAAUUUCCACUUAGUAAGUUCUAUGAAGAAGUGGGUA
rnacentral:tRNA from 1 species